CCUACGGGAGGCAGCAGUGGGGAAUAUUGCGCAAUGGGCGAAAGCCUGACGCAGCGACGCCGCGUGAAGGAAGAAGGCUUUCGGGUUGUAAACUUCUUUUGACAGGGAAGAGCAGAAGACGGUACCUGUCGAAUAAGCCACGGCUAACUACGUGCCAGCAGCCGCGGUAAUACGGAGGAUGCGAGCGUUAUCCGGAUUUAUUGGGUUUAAAGGGUGCGUAGGCGGACUGUUAAGUCCGCGGUAAAAACCCGGGGCUCAACCCCGGCGAGCCGUUGAAACUGGCUGUCUUGAGAUGUCGAGAGGUAUGCGGAAUGCGCAGUGUAGCGAUGAAAUGCUUAGAUAUUGCGCAGAACUCCGAUUGCGAAGGCAGCAUACCGGCGGCGAUCUGACGCUGAGGCACGAAAGCGUGGGUAUCGAACAGGAUUAGAUACCCGGGUAGUC
rnacentral:rRNA from 1 species